rnacentral:rRNA from 1 species
UACGAAGGGUGCAAGCGUUAAUCGGAAUUACUGGGCGUAAAGCGUGCGUAGGCGGUGAGUUAAGUCUGUCGUGAAAUCCCCGGGCUCAACCUGGGAAUGGCGAUGGAUACUGGCUCGCUAGAGUGUGAUAGAGGAUGGUGGAAUUCCCGGUGUAGCGGUGAAAUGCGUAGAGAUCGGGAGGAACAUCAGUGGCGAAGGCGGCCAUCUGGAUCAACACUGACGCUGAGGCACGAAAG